AACGAACGCUGGCGGCAGGCCUAACACAUGCAAGUCGAACGCCCGUAGCAAUACGGGAGUGGCAGACGGGUGAGUAACGCGUGGGAACGUGCCCUUCGGUUCGGAAUAACUCAGGGAAACUUGAGCUAAUACCGGAUACGUCCGUAAGGAGAAAGAUUUAUCGCCGAAGGAUCGGCCCGCGUCGGAUUAGCUAGUUGGUGAGGUAACGGCCCACCAAGGCGACGAUCCGUAGCUGGUCUGAGAGGAUGAUCAGCCACACUGGGACUGAGGCACGGCCCAGACUCCUACGGGAGGCAGCAGUGGGGAAUAUUGGACAAUGGGCGAAAGCCUGAUCCAGCCAUGCCGCGUGAGUGAAGAAGGCCUUAGGGUUGUAAAGCUCUUUCAGCGGGAAGAUAAUGACGGUACCCGCAGAAGAAGCCCCGGCUAACUUCGUGCCAGCCGCCGCCGUAA
rnacentral:rRNA from 1 species